ACGGGGGCCCGCACAAGCGGCGGAGCAUGCGGAUUAAUUCGAUGCAACGCGAAGAACCUUACCAAGGCUUGACAUACACUGGACCGUUCUGGAAACAGUUCUUCUCUUUGGAGCUGGUGUACAGGUGGUGCAUGGUUGUCGUCAGCUCGUGUCGUGAGAUGUUGGGUUAAGUCCCGCAACGAGCGCAACCCUCGUUCUAUGUUGCCAGCACGUGAUGGUGGGAACUCAUAGGAGACUGCCGGGGUCAACUCGGAGGAAGGUGGGGAUGACGUCAAAUCAUCAUGCCCUUUAUGUCUUGGGCUUCACGCAUGCUACAAUGGCUGGUACAGAGAGAGGCGAACCCGUGAGGGUAAGCGAAUCCCUUAAAGCCAGUCUCAGUUCGGAUCGUAGUCUGCAAUUCGACUACGUGAAGUCGGAGUCGCUAGUAAUCGCAGAUCAGCAACGCUGCGGUGAAUACGUUCCCGGGCCUUGUACACACCGCCCGUCAAGUCACGAAAGUCGGUAACACCCGAAGCCGGUGUCCCAACCCACUUGUGGGAGGGGGCCGUCUAAGGUGGGAC
rnacentral:rRNA from 1 species